UAAAUACACAUUUCACUCCCUCCCUUUAUUUUUUUUUCUUUCCCCCCAUUUAUUUUCCUAUUUUGAUUUUUAGUUUUCCUCUCUCCACAAAAUCUUUCCAAAAAUUCACUGCUUCACCCCAAACCCAAAAAUCCACUGCUUCACCCCAAUUCCAAAAAUUCGACUGCUUCGAAUAGUAGCAAAAAAUGGUAGAAUCACUUCUUUCAGGUAACAAAUUUCUGCUACUCAAGGUUUUUAAGUCAAUUUUUUUGUUCAAUCUUCAAUGGGUUCCUUUUAGGGUUUCUGUUUGUGCAAAAUCUUGGAAGUAUUUAGGGAAAGGAACAAUUUUGGAACAAAAAAUUCCCUGUGCAUGAAGAAAUUUGAUGUUUUAUUAUCUUAUUGUUCAUAAUAGUCAUGAAUGAAGAAAUUUUGUGUUAGAUGGGUUAUCUUAAAUUUUGUGUUAAAUAGGUCAGUGACUUCUCCUUUUCUUUUCGGUCCUGAAAAUUUGAAAUGUAUUUAGUUCAGUUCUUAUAGCUUUGAAGAUUAAAAAUUUGAACUUGUAUGAGCUUUAGGCUAAAGUUCCUUUUUUUUUUUUUCCAAUCCUUAAGUUGGGGAAAGCUUUAUCCUAGAAUGCAUCUAAAUGUAAGUGAAAAUCCCUAAUCCUUCUUGCAAAUGUUUUUAGCAUCAAAGCAACUAGAUAGCUAUUGAUUUCUUAGCCCAUCAAGGUACCAUAUGAUUUCUAUUUUGCACUUCUUUAUUUGUCUCUUAUUUUGGCUUAAAAUUAUAGGUGAGGAUUAUUGGCAAGAGAGGAUUUGUACUCUGUUGCCUUGUCUUAUCCAUUGAUUCAGUUUUGCUUUGACAUUUUCUUGAUUUACUUUUUACCCUUGCCCGGGAAGUUGUUGUUGAAGGCGAAGAUAAAGUUUUCAAAGAUGCUAUUGAACCACUAGAAAGUGCUAGCGUAAAUUUGGUACCAAGCAGUAAAGAGGACAUACGAGAUUUUGGUUCGCCACAACAGGUUGCUAAAAUUUUAAUAAAAAAGUUUUUAGUAUCACCUUCUCGGGAAAACAAAACUGAUUGAAGCGUCAGAGCAAUUCCUACUUGAGAACUAUCAUACUUUGGGAGAAUAUGAAGCGAAAACGCAAGAAUUCAGCACAAGCAAUGUUAGAAAGCCUACGAGGACAGCAAGCUGACAACAAUAGCACAACUUCCCAAGAUUUGCAGCAACAAAUUAGUGGGGAUCAACUAAAUGACCAACUUGAGAAUGUGAACAUAACAACUUCUACAUUCGGUAAUGACAACUUAAAUUCUUCUUCAAGCUCUAAUGAAGCUAACUCACAACAGAAAGAGGACCCCUUACUUGUCGAGAUUAGAGAUACUUUGACUGGAGAAGUGACAACCCAAAAGAUGCAAGCAGAUCGAGUUUAGAACUUGGGAAAAAAUAAAAAAAAUUGUGGUGGAACUCAACGGGGAUGGACAAGGAAGUGAUAAUGGUUAAAACUUGCUUGUGAGAUUUCUUGGCAAACUUUCUCAAAAGUCUAUAAUCUGUCCCAUAUCAGUUGAGAGAUGGGAUAGGAUGCCCGAGGCAAAAAAUCGCCUACAAUGGCAGUUAGUUGAGGAGAAUUUCGAGUUUGAUUAUGCUGUUGGAAUUAAAUUGGUGAUGCGUACUUUAUGCGAUAGAUGGAGGACAUAUAAAUAUACGUUAAGAAAUAAUCACUUCUACCCAAACAAAAGUAAGGAAGAUAUACUUGCUAAUCCUCCCGAAAAUGUGGAUUCUAUUGAGUGGGCUGCUUUUGUGCAUCACUAUAAAGAGGAAAAUAUGAAGAAACAAAGUGAACAAAAUGCAAAAAAUCAAAGUAAACUUAAGUCCUGCAUGCCGGUGGUAGUAAAAGCAAUGCAAGGAGAGGUCGUCAAAUGGAGAAAAAAUAUGGAAGGCCUGUGUGCCGAAGUGAGGUGGUUUUGUCGAAUUUACUGAAAAAGGAUGGCAAUUAUGUGAACGCAGAAGGGAAGAUUAUAGUUG